rnacentral:rRNA from 1 species
CAGCGUACGGGUGCGGGACACGUGUGCAACCUGCCUUUAUCAAGGGGAUAGCCUUUCGAAAGGAAGAUUAAUACCCUAUAAUAUAUGAUUCGGCAUCGGAUUAUAUUGAAAACUACGGUGGAUAAAGAUGGGCACGCGCAAGAUUAGCUAGUUGGUGAGGUAACGGCUCACCAAGGCGACGAUCUUUAGGGGGCCUGAGAGGGUGAUCCCCCACACUGGUACUGAGACACGGACCAGACUCCUACGGGAGGCAGCAGUC